rnacentral:lncRNA from 1 species
UUUUCAAGGAGGGACUCAUUUGGAAUUCCUUACUCUACAAAGUUUGGGGUUUUCUGAAGGUUUGCAACAUUGAAGAGAACAACCCUGUCAUGCUAGCAGAGGAGAAACUACAGUCUUUGAUGGCAGGUUGACAAGGGUACUCUGUCCCUGGAGUCAUUUUAUUAUCUGACUUCUGUAUUCUGCCAAAGACACUGAGACCACCUACCUGCACAUUGGAAAAUACAGCUGAGAUCUGUCUUUGUGACCCAGACAGAUGCCCUCUCAACUUCUCUCUGUUCUGAAGGAAAACAUUGCAGCCCAGGCCAGAUGAAAACAAGCACUUUCCCCCCCACUUUUUCUGUGGGAAAGAUGAGUUGAAACCAAAGUUAAUAUAUUUGAAAAAUCUGGGGGAAAAACAGAACAGAUUUUUAAAAAGCUGUUUCUUUACCCAUCGGUAUGCUAUUUGCAGAAGUCUUACAAAGGAAACUUCUGUUGGAGUGGAAAACACUGAGAGAAACCCAUGUUAUGUGAGACUUUAAUUCCCUGGAGCUGGGAAAAUGAAAGAAUCAGGUCCCUAUAUUCUUGGACUGUUGUCAUUAGUUACCAAGAAUGUUUAUUCAAUUGGUUUUAACCAUUUCAUUAGGAAUUCCUUUCAUCUGCUGGAUAUAGUUAACGCAAGACAGGUGAAGCUAAUUUUAUAAAGCAGUAUUGUUACAUUAUAUGCAACAGAUUUCUGAGCACAGAAAGGAAGAAGAAUCGAUUUUUAUCUGCUCAUUUUUUAAAAGAUAUUUUUCACCAACCGUAUAUCUGUACUAUCAUUACAACAAUGCAGUCUGGCUACAAUCUCAGGGAAUCAAUGUGAUUUAUGUCAUAAUGCUUUCUUCUUGGAAGGGUACAUUUGGCACAAGAUAACUGAUUUUAAGCAAUAAACUUACAGACUCUGGGCCAAUCUUGUUAAACCAUUGGCUAGUGCAAAGCUAAAUCACUUAAUAUAAUUCCCACCUAGAGGCUCAUCCAUUUUUUAAAAUCACUAAACUACUGGCAAAUUCAUGUUAACAAGAUCAGAAUAAAAGCUGCUAGGAUAUUCAGUAUUUUGCAUGAUGGACCUCUCCUUUCCACCAAGAGCACAGGGGCUGAAUCUUGCCUUGUCAUCCAGGCUGGAGUGCAGUGGCAUGGUCACUCAAGUGAUCCUCCCACCUCAGCCUCCUGAGUAGCAAAAGUGAUGAAUACAAUCUUUGAGUGAACUAACGGAAUAUCUGAGACGAGUUGAAAAUCUGUUGGGUCAAGUGCCUGUUCCCUGAAGAUGCACACAUCCAGAGAAUGACAGAGAGCCGUUUUUCCAGGCCAAAGCUAACUUCUGUUUCCAUAACACUGUGGGAAGCUGAAAAUGCAAGCCACACAGGUUUGUCCCCAGUCUGUG